rnacentral:lncRNA from 10 species
AUUAGCUGCUCCUUUAUUGCACCCGAACCUCGGGCGACUGAAAAGCCACCGCCCCCACCCCAAACUGCGAGCCGCGCUCCUGGCGCACCCGCCUCCCGCCGGCCUAGCUGCAAUGACCGCACCGGCCCGAAGGUCUCGGUCUCUCCGACCCGGGAUGUGGAGCCCGAAAGAGUGGUGGGAACCCCAGCCCGGGAGGGACGCGGCCGCCGCUCGGGCCAGAUCCCCUUAUCCAGGCCACCUUUGGAAACCAGCCCACCUGCUACACCAACCUUUUCCCAACACCGUGGUCCCACCCCUACCUUCGCUGCUGAAAAACCGCAUUGUGUGGGGGUCUGGAAUCUUCUGGACUCCUGGGACCCCAAUCCGCUUGCCUCUUGUACCCCUCUUGCAGAGCAAUGAGCCGAUGGGGUGCCAGGCAUUAGAAACCUUCCCUCCAAUCCUCACCAUGUCUCCAUUUUGCCAAAGAAGAAACUGAGGUUAAGGUCGCGAUGCUCUGGCCAGCAUCACAGGUAAACGAUUUUGGCAGUGCCCGGAGAAAGAUAGAAGUAAGACCUAAAGAGGAACUUUCCGCAUGUUAUGGGAGAGCCCCUGGGGCGAGGAGGCGAGGGCAGCCUUCCCCAGGCCAAGGGAGCAGCCAUCGCUCUUGGAUCUGUUUUUCCUCAAGCGUCUGUCCUGUGGGGCCUAGUCCCCAAGCGGCAGUCCUGGACCUAACGGGAGAAGGGGCUGGGGGAAGAGGGCGCACCCCCAGCCCGGGACCCACAGCAGCCCUAGCCAGUCCCCCACUCUCUCCCUCUGUAGGGGCCUCUCUCUGAGAUCGGGUCCUCCUCCUGCAGGGCAGCAGAGUGGAAGCCAGGGCCUGGGACCCUCUGGCUGGGCAAGGAGGGACUGGAGUCCGGCUCCCGGUGACCCCGUCCCCAGUGCCAGCGGUGGGGUCGCCUGUGGCGGCCCGGACAGGCCACGGGUCCCUCUCCCCAAGUCCCAUUACGUUGUAUUUAUGUUUCAUUUUAUAGUUUUUUUUUCCUCCUCCCUUAUUAUUGUCUCACUCUGGGGGAGGCAAAGGAUAUAAUAUAUUCAUCUUUAUUAUACCAAAUCUGUGUGAAGCAUUUAAUAAAACGCUGUUUCCACACAGCCAGGGAUAUUAGUGUGAGCUAUCCUUAAGUUAAUGCUCCUGGACUGAGGGCGCCGCUGCCACAGCGCCUGCUGCCGGCGGGUCGCGGGAAGCGUAGGCCCUGGCCGCCGCGCUCCCCGCGCGGGUCCAACGCCCUGGGUGCCCUUCUCGCCUGCGCCUUGAAGCCCCCACGCCCAUCCUAGCGCGUCUCUCUGUGACCUCUCGGCCGCCAGCCUGGGAGGAGGGGUUUGGAAGAGCCGAAUUCAAGCACCCUUCCUCUCCCCUGCCACACCCUGCAUUUCGAAUCCGCUGUGGGCCUUGGCUUGCAUCUAUGAAAAUGGGAAGAAUUCCAUCACUGCCUCCCUCUCAGGGAUCUUGAGAGGCCGAAGAUGCCUUGAAGGUGGACAGGAUUUUUUAAACAGGAAAGAAAAAAUCGAGAAUUUGUAAGGUCAGGAUCAAUGAGGGCCAGAGAGAAAUAGAGAGGCUGCAGGAGUGGUUUCAGGCAACACAGAGCGAGCUGGACCCCAGGCGAGCAGACAGGGUGCAACUCCAGUUUGGGCAGAACCCAGGAGGUUUCGGCAUGCCUGGGCCUCACCCCAGCCCACGAAGACAGCUGAACCUAGUCAGGAUCUCGGCCUGUCACAGUUGGCCCUCUCAUAAUCCUCCCUCUAGGUAGGAAAAUAGUCUUUUUAAGUCCAGUUUUACAGCUAGCAAACUGAGGCUCACAAAGAUCACGUGGCUUGUUUGAGGUGAACAAACUAGGAAGUAGUGUAGCUGGUCACACUGUCUUCCAGACUCCAUGCCCCUCCCCGCCCCCAUUCUCCAGGGUUUUUCUGUAAACCUUACAUUCUGCCUUCUACACACGCGCGCGCGCACACACACACACACACACACACACACACACAUCCCUACCUGGAGAUGCCCAUGGGAAGGAGAAACACCCUCAUUACUUUCUAUAUCCAGGCCCACUGCUCAGUGUCUUUCAGAGCCCACCACCUGGCUUCUUAUAGGGCCCAGAUCUGGGCACACCAUUCUUACUUAGGCUGCUUGUACCUGUGCUGUAGGGGAGAGGGAGUUGGCUGUAACCAGGCAAAGCCAGGCAGAAGGAGUCAUGCAGGACAGGCUUGAAGUGGGCAGGUGAGUCUCCCUGGCUAGAAUCCAUACUCUCCUAGGAAUCUCAGUCUUCCUCUGCCCCCAUCACCCCAUCCCUGGGAGUGGGGGCUGCACAAGCUCAACACACAUCCUGUAGGCUGCUGGUCAGAGCUCCUUUGGAGACUUAAGUUACUUGAGAAAUCUGACAGUUCCCCCCUGGGGCUGGCUGGGGAGGAGGCACAGACUGUGUGGCAGGGCUAGGACUAGGGUGAGGCAUGUGAGGUGCCAUAUUUAAGGAAGGCAUCUGCUCUCAGCUCUGUGUGUGAUCCCUUAGGUUUUGUGCCGUGGGCAUCUCACUCGCCUCACCCUAGUCCCAGCUCUACUGUGUGGUCUGGGAGUUAGAAUCAAGUCCAGUGAACUGCUGAGAGGGGACAGGGAGGCUGAUUUCAGCUCAUCCUUGAGAAUGGCUUUCUGAAGGAUCAAAGUGGAAACAAUGGAAUGAGCUUCCCCCAACACAUGGAGUAUGCAAGCAGGGCUUAGCGCUUGCUAAGAAGGAAAAUAAUCACGGUCUUAUUGUCAUCACCAAUAUUGUCCUCAUUUGACCAUCACUUUGUGUCAAGUAAAAGCUGUCAUCACAUUGUUUCAUUUAAUGUAUAUAAAUAUGUUUUAGCUGAAUAUGGGAUAUCAGAGUCUCUGACUUUGGGGUCCUUUCCAGCUCCAAGAGUCCAUUGUUGCAUAAGACAAAGAGCACUUCUGUUGAUUUUUGUUGGUUUGAUGCAUUGUCAUUAUUUGUGGACUUAUAGUCUUAUACUAAUGGAUAAGACUUUGAGGGCAGGGACUGUGUCUAAUCACAUUUUUUUAAAUGAUUCCCUCUCCUGUUCCAUGCUGACCACGGGCCUGGGGCACAUAGAAGCUGUUCAAUAAAUGUGUAUCAAACAAACACAUGAGUAA